rnacentral:sRNA from 1 species
ACACAAGAAAGGAGGUGGUCCAGUCUUGAUAAAUACGGAACAUAGUGAGGUGGCUGCUACUUAGCGGCGCUCUAACAUAUUAGUUGGGGUGACGUUAAGUAAAUCCCAACAGUUUACCGGCCCGACGGUUCCGCACUGUCGGGCUUUUCAUU